AUAUAAAGUGGAACAGAAAUAAGACUCAGCGCUGAAACUCUCCACUAUUGAGGUGUUGAGGCGUGUUCAUCCAGGAAAGUGCACUGAAGGUGGAUACCAAGCUAUUCCUCUAUUCUAUGUGGUUUGGAUUCGUCUGUUAGUCAUGGGAUAUCAUCAUCGCUCGUUCCUUUGUUGAAGCAACAUGACACACACCAUGCCAAUCAGAGACUUUUAUUUAUGCACAGAGUUUGUUAAGGAAUCUUAACAAUACAAGCAAUUCAAACCAUAUUAUCUUUCUAAAAAUUGUAUGGGCUUAUCUUCGUAUACAUUCACUAAUGCAUCUCUGAUCACCUGUGGACUGGCUUGGGCUAAUUCCUUUAUGAUGGCUGCCUUUGAGAAAGUUGAAUCAUCUGUGGCCUCUCUCCAUAUGAUCACUCAUACUUCAACAA
rnacentral:lncRNA from 1 species